rnacentral:rRNA from 1 species
AACGAACGCUGGCGGCAUGCCUAACACAUGCAAGUCGAACGAGACCUUCGGGUCUAGUGGCGCACGGGUGCGUAACGCGGGGGAACCUGCCCUUAGGUUCGGAAUAACUCCCCGAAAGGGGUGCUAAUACCGGAUAAUGUCUUCGGACCAAAGAUUUAUCGCCUUUGGAUGGGCCCGCGUUGGAUUAGCUAGUUGGUAGGGUAAAAGCCUACCAAGGCGACGAUCCAUAGCUGGUCUGAGAGGAUGAUCAGCCACACUGGGACUGAGACACGGCCCAGACUCCUACGGGAGGCAGGAGUGGGGAAUAUUGGACAAUGGGCGAAAGCCUGAUCCAGCAAUGCCGCGUGAGUGAUGAAGGCCUUAGGGUUGUAAAGCUCUUUUACCCGGGAUGAUAAUGACAGUACCGGGAGAAUAAGCUCCGGCUAACUCCGUG